rnacentral:rRNA from 1 species
AUACAGAGGGUGCGAGCGUUGUUCGGAAUUAUUGGGCGUAAAGAGCAUGUAGGCGGUCUGUUAAGUCUGGUGUGAAAGCCCGGGGCUCAACCCCGGAAGUGCAUUGGAUACUGGCAGACUUGAGUAUGGGAGAGGAAAGCGGAAUUCCGAGUGUAGGAGUGAAAUCCGUAGAUAUUCGGAGGAACACCAGUGGCGAAGGCGGCUUUCUGGACCAAUACUGACGCUGAGAUGCGAAAGCGUGGGGAGCAAACAGGAUUAGAAACCCCGGUAGUCC